GGAACUUACUGAGCAAGCUUUCUGUGGUUACGCACCCAGGGAAUGCUACACCUUUCAUUACAGAUGAUUUUUUAUUAAACAAAAGAUAAUUACACCUUGUACAUUGAUGAGCAUUAAUACACAAUAGGAAUAGUUUUCCUCUUCUAUCCUAAAACAGGCUGUAAUUGAGAAAUACCAGAAUGCUCCAGAUUUACAGUUGGUUCUGUUGGGAGUGGGGAUAAAUGUAAAUCACUGUAAUCAUUUUCAAAUAUUCAGCAGAGAAGUUAGAACAGAACAGGUACUAAUCGCAAGCCACAAAUCAAAAUGUGUGUAUGCCCAUUUAACAAACAUAAAUGAAGACACACUUUUAAACUGUAACAAAUGUGUGUAUGGUAUGUCAAUUGCAACUUACACAAAACAAGCUCUGGAAUUGGCCAUGAAUAACUCACGUGAUGCACAGUAAUGAAUACGAUUUAUUGUUUUUGAGACAUUUGGAUGUGAAACUAAAACAACAAACAGUUAAAGUGGUGGAUUAAAACAAGGAAAACAUGUAUGGAAUAAUAAAUAAAUGAAAAAAUAAAAUAAUUCUUGUGCAAGAGCUUUAUUCCUCAUUGGGCAGGGCUCUUUUAGCGGUGUCCACCUCCUCCAGGAUUUUGCUGUAGAGUGCAACCAUCUUUAGAAAAAAGGAAAAAUACAAGCUGAACACUUAAAAAAAACUUGACUAUUAAUCUUACACUAAA